CCAUCCAGCAAAACACCAGUCUCCACCCUCUCUCGAUGCCCUCAAUCAACACAGGCUAAGUACAGUUCUACUGCCCUUUACUCAUACAAUAAGAACAACAACAUUUCA